ACGCACAGUUUAUACCGUAGCUUGCUACACCAUAGACUGUGAGUUGCGAACGGGUGAGUAACGCGUAGGUAACCUGCCUAUUAGAGGGGGAUAACUAUUGGAAACGAUAGCUAAUACCGCAUAACAGUAUGUAACACAUGUUAGAUGCUUGAAAGAUGCAAUUGCAUCGCUAGUAGAUGGACCUGCGUUGUAUUAGCUAGUAGGUAGGGUAAAGGCCUACCUAGGCAACGAUACAUAGCCGACCUGAGAGGGUGAUCGGCCACACUGGGACUGAGACACGGCCCAGACUCCUACGGGAGGCAGCAGUAGGGAAUCUUCGGCAAUGGGGGGAACCCUGACCGAGCAACGCCGCGUGAGUGAAGAAGGUUUUCGGAUCGUAAAGCUCUGUUGUUAAGGAAGAACGAGUGUGAGAAUGGAAAGUUCAUGCUGUGACGGUACUUAACCAGAAAGGGACGGCUAACUACGUGCCA
rnacentral:rRNA from 1 species